AUACGGAGGAUGCAAGCGUUAUCCGGAUUUAUUGGGUUUAAAGGGUGCGUAGGCGGGACUGUAAGUCAGGGGUGAAAUACUGCAGCUUAACUGUAGCAUUGCCUUUGAAACUGCCGUUCUUGAGUACAGUUGAGGUAGGCGGAAUGGGGUGUGUAGCGGUGAAAUGCAUAGAUAUACCACAGAACGCCGAUUGCGAAGGCAGCUUACUAAGCUGUUACUGACGCUGAGGCACGAAAGCGUGGGGAUCAAACAGGAUUAGAUACCCUGGUAGUCCACGCUGUAAACGAUGAUUACUGGUUGUUAGCGAUAUAUAGCUAGUGACUGAGCGAAAGCAUUAAGUAAUCCACCUGGGGAGUACGUCGGCAACGAUGAAACUCAAAUGAAUUGGCGGGG
rnacentral:rRNA from 1 species